AAUCAAAUGCGCAUUUCCAAAUGCCAAGCUCUCUGCAAAAAUGGGAGAAUAUGUGUCUGUGAUCACAUCUCUCAUGACAGAAUUCAGUCAGCGCUUCCAAGAUUUUUCUGUCAUUGAGAAGGAAAUCACACUGUUUGCGGCUCCGUUUUCAAUGGAUGCAGAAGAAGUGGAGGAGAGUCUGCAAUUAGAACUGAUCGAAAUUCAGUGUGAUGAUUCUCUGAAGAAUCAGCAUUAGCUUCUCUCCCUACCUGACUUCUACCGGAGCUUGGAAAAGGCCAAGUUUCCUUUGAUGAGACACCACGCAAAACGAAUGAUGAGUCUCUUCGGCUCAACAUACGUCUGUGAGCAGACAUUAUCUCUGUUAACGCUGAACAAAAGCAGACUGAGAACCAGAACGACCGACAGCCAUCUCCGUGACGUCCUUGGCAUCUCAACCACCAAACUUACUCCUGACCUGCCAGCUAUCCUUCAGACCAAAGCGCAGCAUCACUGCUCCCACUGAGCACAACAUUCUUCCCAUUACAGGACAAUGAAGGGGGAUCAGCACCCUAAGAACCAAUCUGAGGCUGUCACUGAGAGAAUGACCUGCCAACCUUUUUGUAAAAAA